rnacentral:sRNA from 12 species
CAACAGGCUAGACCGAUCAUCGAAAAGCGGAAAUGCCUUGCCGCCUGCCUGUUGAUUUACAUACAUUCAAGGC